GACGAACGCUGGCGGCGUGCUUAACACAUGCAAGUCGAACGGAAAGGCCCUGCUUGCAGGGUACUCGUGUGGCGAACGGGUGAGUAACACGUGGGUGAUCUGCCCUGCACUUCGGGAUAAGCCUGGGAAACUGGGUCUAAUACCGGAUAGGAGCCAUUUUUAGUGUGAUGGUUGGAAAGUUUUUUCGGUGUAGGAUGAGCUCGCGGCCUAUCAGCUUGUUGGUGGGGUAAUGGCCUACCAAGGCGGCGACGGGUAGCCGGCCUGAGAGGGUGGACGGCCACAUUGGGACUGAGAUACGGCCCAGACUCCUACGGGAGGCAGCAGUGGGGAAUAUUGCACAAUGGGCGCAAGCCUGAUGCAGCGACGCCGCGUGGGGGAUGACGGCCUUCGGGUUGUAAACUCCUUUCGCUAGGGACGAAGCUUUUUGUGACGGUACCUAGAGAAGAAGCACCGGCUAACUACGUG
rnacentral:rRNA from 1 species